rnacentral:sRNA from 1 species
UUCCAAAUAUGUCGAAUUUUUACAGACGCUACCUCGCUGGAGUGAAAAAAGACGAGCCACUCCUCGAUAAUAGUACUGCUAGGGCACGUCCAGUUGAUCCAA